UUGCAAAAUUUUCGUAGCUCGGAGUUCACGCUGCGAGAAUGAAUCUCAACACUGACAGCGAAGAAGAGUCACUUAUUUUUAUUACGCCAAAUAUCUCUUUUCAAGAACUGUAAUGUCGACGACAAUGGACAAGCGGAACGAGUAUAUUAUUACGAGAACGAUUCUAAGUGAAGAAGUUGAGAAGAGAAAGGACGAGAGGAUCCCGGAGAACACGAAAACGAACACGGUGUGGGCUGUUCGUACUUGGCAAGAGUGGGCAGAGGAGAGGAAUUAGAACCAGAGCUGUGUCAGGAUCGGAUAGUUUCGUAAGUUAGAUAGUAUCAAAGGUGUUCGAUUGUAGGGUUGAUGAAGAGUAAGAGAGGAUGUUUGUAUAGAUGAUAAAGUCAUAAAGAGCGAGGGCGAAAGUGGCAUUUAUAAUGAGCAAUUAAAUCAAUUCACUACCUGCA